GUAGGUGGCAAGCGUUGUCCGGAAUUAUUGGGCGUAAAGCGCGCGCAGGCGGUUCUUUAAGUCUGAUGUGAAAGCCCACGGCUCAACCGUGGAGGGUCAUUGGAAACUGGAGAACUUGAGUACAGAAGAGGAAAGCGGAAUUCCACGUGUAGCGGUGAAAUGCGUAGAGAUGUGGAGGAACACCAGUGGCGAAGGCGGCUUUCUGGUCUGUAACUGACGCUGAGGCGCGAAAGCGUGGGGAGCAAACAGGGAUUAGAUACCCUGGUAGUCCACGCCGUAAACCAUGAGUGCUAAGUGUUAGGGGGUUUCCGCCCCCUUAGUGCUGCAGCUAACGCAUUAAGCACUCCGCCUGGGGAGUACGGCCGCAAGGCUG
rnacentral:rRNA from 1 species